AGAGUUUGAUCCUGGCUCAGGACGAACGCUGGCGGUGCGCCUUAUGCAUGCAAGUCGAGCGAAGCUUUUCAGUAGUUUACUACAGAAAAUGACUGAGCGGCGAACGGGUGAGUAACGCGUGAGCAACCUACCUUAGUUACUGGGAUAGCCCGAGGAAACUCGGAUUAAUACCGGAUAUUCUUAUUUAAUCACAUGAUUUUUUAAGGAAAGGUCAGCCGAACUAAGAUGGGCUCGCGUUCUAUCAGCUAGUUGGUAGGGUAAUGGCCUACCAAGGCUACGACGGAUAGCUGGUCUGAGAGGACGAUCAGCCACACUGGGACUGAGACACGGCCCAGACUCCUACGGGAGGCUGCAGCAGGGAAUAUUGCGCAAUGAGCGAAAGCUUGACGCAGCGACACCGCGUGUGGGAUGACGGAUCUAGGUUUGUAAACCACUUUCAGGAGGGAAGAAAAUGACGGUACCUCCACAAGAAGCCCCGGCCAACUACGUGCCAGCAGCCGCGGUAAUACGUAGGGGGCGAGCGUUGUCCGGAUUUAUUGGGCGUAAAGAGCUCGUAGGCGGUUCAACAAGUCGGUCGUGAAAGUUCAGGGCUCAACCCUGAAAUGUCGAUCGAUACUGUUGUGACUAGGAUACGGUAGAGGUGAGUGGAAUUCCGAGUGUAGCGGUGAAAUGCGUAGAUAUUCGGAGGAACACCAAUUGCGAAGGCAGCUCACUGGGCCGCUAUCGACGCUGAGGAGCGAAAGCUAGGGGAGCAAACAGGAUUAGAUACCCUGGUAGUCCUAGCUGUAAACGAUGGAUACUAGACGUAGGAAUUGGAUUAACGAUUUCUGUGUCGUAGCUAACGCGUUAAGUAUCCCGCCUGGGGAGUACGGUCGCAAGACUAAAACUCAAAGGAAUUGACGGGACCCCGCACAAGCGGCGGAGCAUGCGGCUUAAUUCGAUGAUACCCGUAGAACCUUACCUGGACUUGACAUAUAGGGAAAAGUUAUAGAAAUAUAAUGUGCAUUAGCGCCCUAUACAGGUGGUGCAUGGCUGUCGUCAGCUCGUGUCGUGAGAUGUUGGGUUAAGUCCC
rnacentral:rRNA from 1 species